rnacentral:rRNA from 1 species
GAGUUUGUAUCCUGGCUCAGGAUGAACGCUAGCUACAGGCUUAACACAUGCAAGUCGAGGGGCAGCAUGGACCCAGCUUCGCUGGGUUUGAUGGCGACCGGCGCACGGGUGAGUAACGCGUAUCCAACCUGCCCUUUACUCCGGGAUAGUCUCCUGAAAGGGAGUUUAAUACCGGAUGUGUUUGUCUUUCCGCAUGGAGCGACAAAUAAGAUUGAUUGGUAAAGGAUGGGGAUGCGUCCCAUUAGCUUGUUGGG